GGUUCCCCUUUUCUAUUUUUUUUUCUUCCUCCUCCUCCUUCUUUUGGGUUGCAGGGGGUUGGUGUGGAGCCAAAUAUAUUCACUAGGCGACACGUGGACUUUUGGACAAAAGAGGACAAAAAUACCCUCGAGGCAUACCAGGAUUCCUACGCGUGAGCAGUGGGCAAUCAUCUUUCAAUCAAGUCAAAAGUACCCAAAAAAGGUAACAAUUAAAAACCUCUUUCAUCAAAAUCCUUUCUAUAAGGUAUUUCCCAAGACCUAGUAUUUUCUAUUUCAUUAUUUAGCUAAUCAAUUAGCUAAAUAAUAUAUGUCUACCAUAUCUCCUAAAAUCAUCUUUAAUAGUCAAUUAAAUCACCCAAUUAAUAGCCAAAACCGGCCCCCCACUUUUCACAUCCUCAUCUUUCCCAUUUUCCUUAUUAAAAUAGUCAUUCAUUUUUAUAACCACCCAUUUAUUCUUUUCAUAUUUAAUUAGAAUAAAUUGGCUAAUUAAACAUGAAUUUGACCCCCACAAAAACCUUAUGGCCGGUUCCCAUUAUUCAAAAUGGGGCAAGGCCUACCCCUAUAAAUAGGCACCUAUUCUCACCAAAAAUUCAUUCCAAACCUCUUGCAAAAAAUCCUAAAUAUUCUAAACAUUAUUUCUCUCUAAAAUUCUAACUUUGGCAUCGGAGGUUCUUCGGCCAAAGCCCCCCCUCCCCCAUUCAUCGUGGGCGCGUGAGGCUUUUGGCCUUAACCUAAGGUGCUAGUUGUUUUGUAGGUGCAAAAUUGUCCGAGAUCGAGGAGGAGAAAAUUUGCAUCCACAAAUUGGUGCUUUCAUUGAGAGUUGAAAUCCAUACUCGUAGAAGACUCUCGCACAAAAAAGGUUUUUUCUUUAUUUUCUAGUCCAUUUGAAUAUUUUUCAUACGUUCUUAUUAUUAGAAUUUUUUACUUGCAAAGGUUCUUUGAAAACGUAUAAGCAAAAUAUAAUGGCUAGAAAUUUAGAAAAUUCCAUAAGUGAAAAUUCUAGUGUUCAAGAAAUGGGAGUGCGGAGAUCCGUGAGGCAAAAUGUGACAAUAAGGGGAGCGGCAUCACCACCACGAGUUUCCACCAUGGGAACCACCGCGGGGGCUACUUCGGUAGCCAUUCAUGGCGAGGUCCAUGGAGCUUUCACCACGGCCCGAGCCGUGCCAUCCAAGGCUCACGAUACCAAGACCACGACCCAAGCCGUGCCAUCCAAGUUUACGUGGACCCAAGCCCAAGCCUCGCAUUCACAUGCACCGCGCGUUGAGCAGCCUGCUUCCGUCGAGCAGCCCACUCCCGUGGCCCAGCCUGCUCCCGACGAGCAGUCCACUCCCGUGGUCCAGCCUGCUUCCGUCGAGUAGCCUACUCCCGUGGCCCAGCCUGCUCCUGCCAAGCAUCUUGCUCUCGUGACCCAACCUGCUCCCGACGAGCAGCCCACUCCCGUGGUCCAGCCUGCUUCCGUCGAGCAGCUCACUCCCGCGGCCCAACCUGCUCCUGUCGAGCAGCCUGCUUUCGUGACCCAGCCUGCUGUCGACGAGCAGCCCACUCUCACGGCCCAUCCUGCUCCAGUGGCUUUCCAAGCAGCCCAAGUCGACCCAAGAUUAUCUCAACCAUCCGGACCUACCAUCGAGCCGGGGGCAUUCUCACCAUAUUUUUUCGCGGAUUUGACAUUUCCCAACUCAAAUCUCACGCCCGGAGUCUGCCACCCUUCCACUGCCCAACGAGGCGCAUUCAUUCCAAGCUUUUCCAAUCCAAAUGGCGAAAAAUACUUGUCUCGGCAAGUCAUAGAGUUAACGAGCGCCCUUGCACAACAGACAACUUUGGUGAAUCAACUUUUGCAACGCAUCGGGAUUCAACGUGCCCCGGACGAGGUAUCCCGAAGUAGGACAAGGGCAGACGAACCUUUCCAGCAGCAUCCCGGCAAGCAGCCAUUCGACCAACCACGAGCCGAACGUUCAGGCAGUGUACAUUCCCGAUUGGGCCCCCGAGAUAGCGUAUACUCCCGUCUUAGCGCGCGGAGGAGCGUGUACUCUCGACUAGGCCCACAGAUGAGCAUACAUUCACGGUUGGGGUCACACUCCGAUAGUCAACAUGAGAAACCUUCCGGACAAAGUGUUCAUUCGCGGCUAAGCCCACAAGGAGCAUCAUCCACCUCACAUCAGAGUAGGCAGCACGACGGACGGAGAGCAGUCACUCAAUCCAGCUCAAGUUCAACCAGCAGCCUGCGAAGAACUCGCUCGCCUGCUAGGAACGCACCACAUGCACUACAUCUGCGGCAUAGACGAGCCAAACACAUGGAAGAGCAGCCUAGACCAGCAAGUCAUGGCUGGGGGCAGCCGAGAGCUCCGCUACCCCAACAAAGGCAAAUUCAGGAAGAAGUAGAGAGACUCUUGACCAAGCGAUUGCAUGAUUUCCAACGCAACGAGGUCACCGACGAGGCACUACGAUGAAACAUGACCAACAUAAGCAGGUCACCCUUCACGGACGAGAUCGAGCAGGUAGAGCCUCCACGAGAGUUCAGCAUGCCACAUUUCACAUCUUUCAAAGGGGAUGAAGACCCAGAGAGACACUUAAAGCGCUACCGAAGCGCAAUAAUCCUUUAUCAAACAACGAUGAUCUCAUGUGCAAGAUAUUCGCCACCACUCUACAAGGCGAGGCGCAAGAUUGGUUCUACACCCUGCCGCCACAAUCCAUCCGGAAUUUUUACGAACUUUCUUUGGUUUUCACCAAAGAAUAUUCAUCCUAUCGCUUGAUAAAAAAUAAGUCUGAUCAUUUGUUCAACGUCAAGAAGAACCCAAAGGAGUUGCUUCGCGACUAUGUGAGGAGGUUCAAAGUAGAGAAGGCAAAAAUAGUCGGAUGCAAUGACUCGAUAGCUAGAGCAGCCUUCCAAAAAGGACUUCCAGCAGACCACCCGCUAUUCGGAAAAUUGAUCAUGAAAGAAGAUCUAACUCUGGCAGACUCUUUUGCUUUGGCAGAGAAGUAUGCACUUUGGGAUGAGGCUCGCCAAUGCACAUUCAAGGACUUGAAGAAGUACCCGACAUCACCUCCCUAGAAGCAGCGGAGGACUUAUUCACAUGUUUGACGGUAUCUAAAGUAGCAAUAAGCUCUACCAUCAUGCGAGGAGAGAUGGGGGCCCGACUACCUGUAUUCCACAGUUACCUGUAUUCUACAGUUCAAAAGCUCUCCUCGAUGUUAUUAAAAAUUCAAAAGCUAACUUUGGCGAUAGUUGUUGCAACCCAGAAGCACAAGUUUUACUUUCAAACGCACGCAAUCAUCCUCAUGACGUACUAUUCUGCCCAAACCAGACGCGCGACGAUAAAGGCGUAGACCCUGGCGGAUGUAAAGUUUUUUGACGAACGCAACACUGGAAGGACACACUCGAAAGCAAGUUUUGUCCUCGUCACCCUAAAAGAUUCUACAUAGGAGCAACAUGUACCGGCAAUUGAGUACCAUUUCUUGCUGCGCAUCACAAGGCACUAGCCGACCCUUGCUCAAUGAUUCAACUCUAGAGUGGCCCAAUACCGACAGUUGAGCAUCUCCUGCUGCGUAUGACAUGGCCUCAUCUCUACAGCUCCCUACUGCGCCUUCACACCGAGCCUAGGUGACGCAACAGAGCGGCCUAACGAUGCCUCAGAAGUAGCCGAGCACACUCUAGCUGCGCAUACUCCACCCGAUGGAGACUUCUGGCAUUUGCAUGUCGACGGCGCAUAAAAGCCUUCAUCACUGCCGGCAGAGAAGGCUCCAAAAAGAUGGAUCCCAUCUGGGAAGGUCCGUACAAGAUCAGCAGAGUAGGGGGCAAGAGUAAUUACACCAUCGCCACCAUGAAGCGACAAAAAGAUUGAAAAGCAAUGGAUGGCCUACAAUCUGAAGAAGUACCAUGUGUGACCUCCUGCUAUAUCAAAACUCGAAGACUCAAUAAGCUCGACGGGCACCACCUCACAAGCUGAGGACUAUCCAGUUGUUAUGCAGUUCCUACCUUACAGCUAAAGUUCUUGUUCGUUUCACUCGUUUUUUCAAUGAGGAAUUUAGAAGUAAUCACAACUUGGCUUGGCUGCAUGCUUACAACAACUAAUCACUCAUGUACUUCAAAAGAAGACCGCGCCCUUCUUAGGGACUCAUCGCAGGAAUUGCGCCCCCCGAGGGACCAACCAUGCUCUCCAGUGCGAGAGGGUAAACCAAUUCUCCGACACCCAUAUGGGUCAGCUCUCCAAGACGGGAGGAUAAACUUUACACUCCGAAUAUCCAGACGUGGAUGAGACGGGAGGAUAAACAAGCUAGCGCGCAUAUACGAAGUUUUAUCCACUGCCGACAUGCUACGUAGUCGAUAAGCUUCACAUCUGCCAAGCGCGGAAUAACCUACACCAAGUCCUAAAGUGUUAUGAUACUUGCUACGCAACCUACGGAAUUGAAGAAAGUCAAGGUUAACAGCCUAGUGGUUACGCGGACUUGUCUGCUUCUGUAAGUAAGGCAUCCGGCUGCCAACCCUAUGGCUAACAACUUUGCAAAGUUCUACACCAACACCUACGGCUGCAUAGGCUACGCGAGCUUGUCUGCUUAUAAAAAAGUAGCAUGCCUGCCACUGGUCUAUCAAGUCUAAAGGUUAGGGCAUGAACAAAAGAAGUGAAGAUGAAGAAAAACGAAGGAAAACAUGUUUAUAAACAACUAGCAAAAGCCGAAGGAGUUCAAGCAAAACAAGAGCUACAAGGAAAAACAAAGAAAAUCCUAAAGGCUACCUAAAAUACUACACUACAGCAGCUUGGACAUCCCACGACUACUCGGUCGCCACACCUUCAACAACCGUAACGCUCUUAGCAGCGGCAUCAUCCGGCGCUUCACCCCCGGCUGCCCCAGUCUGGGCACUAACUUCUCCAACUACUUCACCAAUGGAAGCCUUAAAAGUAAAAGCAAGCAAGUCUUCCGGAGAAAUAGAGAAACUCAUCCACUCCCUUCUUAGCAUAAGCAGCAAAACGAAGCUCAGAAAUUGCAAGCUUAAGAUCUUGAAUCUGAGGCGAAUCAAUCUCAGCAGCAAAGGGAGCAGGCUUUGGGGCCACUUUAGCAGCAGAGUCCACCUUACCACUUUUCAUAAUAGCAAGUCUCUACAAAAGUGAACCGGACUUGGCUCCCAAAGAAUGUCCUGGUACAGACUUCGGCACUGGGGGUAUGAUAAAACCUUUACGCUGAGCAAUCUUAUCCACAAUUGUACUAGCCAUUCUCAACAUGGAAGACGCCACAUGCUCAGAUCUAUCAGCCUUAUUUUUCUUCCCAUUGGAAGAAGUCAUGUCAAUCACAUACCUCUCGGUAGCAAGCGGACCCUCAUGAGCAGCAGAAGAAGUCUUCAGUUUUUUCUUAACUGGCAUCUCAUGAGCAGGCGGGGAAGAUAUCUUCUUUCCAUCUUCAUUCAUAGUAAGCUCCACGACAGCGAUCAGACGAGCCAAUGCAUCCGCCUUGAUCCUCUUUACCUCAUCUUUCCGGAGUAGCCCACAUUUCUUUCAGCAAAAAGGACUAAGCAGCCAACGACAUUCAUAGUACUCAGCAGGGGAGCUCAACCCAGCCUUCCAGCAGGCAGGAGGCCUGCAUGCCCAACAUUCCAGCAGCCAAUGAGACCCGCAAUCUCCUUAUUUCUCUUAAUCGCCAGCCUGGCCCGAGUCAGGUCCAAGAGCCCAAAGGACAUGAGCCAUGCAGCUCGCCUAGCACUGCGCCCCAGCGCCACAAUCCUCGACCCCAGCUGCACAAGCUGCCCUUGGUUCUAGCCAAGUCAAGCAGCUUAAAGCAGUGGUCCCUACCACAAUACCUCAUCGACCCAUGCCGAGCCGACUUCUGGCCUAUGCCAGCCGACGUGUCGCACCACCCCGACGGCUGCCCUGCAAUAGCACUAUCCAAGAAGAAGGCAAGAAAAAUUAAAUUUUUCUUACAUCGGUGCGGCACGGAAAAGACGAAGAAAUCAACGAAAGACGGUCCUUUGCACGGGCAAGAUGUAGAAGAUUGCUAGAGGAGGGGGAACAAAUAUCCUCUAAGCUAUCUCUCUCUUGUAGGGUAGAAUAAAUCGCUCUCCAAAGUUGAUUUAAUAACCCACUUAAGGUGGACUUAAAUAGGCUUUGAGAGAAAUUUAUUUCCUUUUCCUAGAAGGAUCUAAUUUCCAUUUAAAGAGAGAAUCAACAUCAAAAUAGGAAGCAGUCUUAAGUUUCCUAAAGCAAGAAAAUCUCUACACCUGUUGCCCUUUUCUGCAAGCAGCCCAACAGGUGUGGGGGCAUUUGUGGAGCCAAAUAUAUUCACUAGGCAACACGUGGACUUUUGGACAAAAGAGGACAAAAAUACCCUCGAGGCAUACCAGGAUUCCUACGCGCGAGCAGUGGGCAAUCAUCUUUCAAUCAAGUCAAAAGUACCCAAAAAAGGUAACAAUUAAAAACCUCUUUCAUCAAAAUCCUUUCUAUAAGGUAUUUCCCAAGACCUAGUAUUUUCUAUUUCAUUAUUUAGCUAAUCAAUUAGCUAAAUAAUAUAUGUCUACCAUAUCUCCUAAAAUCAUCCUUAAUAGUCAAUUAAAUCACCCAAUUAAUAGCCAAAACCGGCCCCCCACUUUUCACAUCCUCAUCUUUCCCAUUUUCCUUAUUAAAAUAGUCAUUCAUUUUUAUAACCACCCAUUUAUUCUUUUCAUAUUUAAUUAGAAUAAAUUGGCUAAUUAAACAUGAAUUUGACCCCCACAAAAACCUUAUGGCCGGUUCCCAUUAUUCAAAAUGGGGCAAGGCCUACCCCUAUAAAUAGGCACCUAUUCUCACCAAAAAUUCAUUUUAAACCUCUUGCAAAAAAUCCUAAAUAUUCUAAACAUUAUUUCUCUCUAAAAUUCUAACUUUGGCAUCGGAGGUUCUUCGGCCAAAGCCCCCCCCAUUCAUCGUGGGCGCGUGAGGCUUUUGGCCUUAACCUAAGGUGCUAGUUGUUUUGUAGGUGCAAAAUUGUCCGAGAUCGAGGAGGAGAAAAUUUGCAUCCACAGUUGGGUUUU
rnacentral:lncRNA from 1 species